rnacentral:piRNA from 1 species
UACAUAUGCUCAGGGCAGCUAGCUCUUUC